ensembl:lncRNA
AACCAGGGGGAUGAAGAGAAGAGCCUCGUAAAGUCCACCAUCAGCCUCCCAACACAGACAUCUGCUCUGUUCCCAGACUGAGAUCCAGAUCCAGAUCCAGAGGAGAGAGAGAAUAUCAGUGGAGCCUCUGAAAUAGAUCCCCGACACGGCUUUACCACAUCUGUUCUUCAAGCAGCCAAACACAUAACAACCCAAUUGCCCUCCGCCUGACUGCACUCGUAUGGCUGAGUGUUACACACUGUGUGUACCGAAUCCCCGUCCGCUACGAAAGCAACCACAGCCGUGUGAAUAACCAGCUGAAACAUUCCCAACCUUCACGAUGAAAACAGACCUGCUGGCACACAAAGACAGCAGGUGAACAACACAAUACAGCAGCGUGCAGCGCGUAUGGGAGCGUUGUCCACUGUUCCAAUACCGCCAACAAAGGCCCCUCUGACUAGACGCCUGGACGGGCCGGGCUGUGAUACUGCAAGAGUCAAGUCUGAGAGGACAGUUAUGAUAAAAUCACUCCGAUGAGCUGUGCUGACUUCUCAUUAGCCCGG